CUUUGAGAGAGACCUGCACAAGGUGCAGAAUUCAAGAAAUCGACAGGAGAAGCAUGCCGACUGGUCAGCAGCUACCUUCCAGCGAAAAAAGUUGAAGCUACAGGGGACAAAGAAGGUGUGCACUGCAACGAUGCAUGUGAAACAAGUAGAGUUGUAUCCGGAAUUCAGGAUCAACAUCCCACAACCAUGUACCAAAUGGCAGCACGAAACAGCUUCAAAGGAAAUGAUCUCUCGACUGAGGUUGGCAUUGCAAGAAGAAGCUAGUGGUAAACCUGUUCUGCACCAGCAUCCCUUCUAUGUCUGUAUGUCCGACAGGGAAAGCCACUCUAAUCAUGACAUUGAUGCUCGCUGGGCAGGCUACGCACAGCCGAUAAAUUCAGAAGUGUCCAAAAAAAUUUGUGAGCUUGUACAACAAGGUGUGACAUC